rnacentral:miRNA from 1 species
CGGGGACACACUUUCUCCU